UACGUAGGGUGCAAGCGUUGUCCGGAAUUAUUGGGCGUAAAGAGCUCGUAGGCGGCUUGUCGCGUCGGCUGUGAAAACCUGGGGCUCAACCCCGGGCCUGCAGCCGAUACGGGCAAGCUAGAAUUCGGUAGGGGAGACUGGAAUUCCUGGUGUAGCGGUGAAAUGCGCAGAUAUCAGGAGGAACACCUAUGGCGAAGGCAGCACUCUGGGACGGUACUGACGCUGAGACGCGAAAGCGUGGGGAGCGAACAGG
rnacentral:rRNA from 1 species